rnacentral:rRNA from 1 species
CCUACGGGGGGCUGCAGUGGGGGAUAUUGCACAAUGGGGGAAACCCUGAUGCAGCGACGCCGCGUGUGGGAAGACGGUCCUCUGGAUUGUAAACCACUGUCCCCAGGGACGAAAAUGACGGUACCUGGGGAGGAAGCUCCGGCUAACUACGUGCCAGCAGCAGCGGUAAUACGUAGGGAGCGAGGGUUGUCCGGAAUUACUGGGUGGAAAGGGAGCGUAGGCGGGGAUGCAGGUUCGGUGUCAAAACUACCGGCACAACUGGUAGUGGCACUCAAAACUGCAGCUCUUGAGUGAAGUAGAGGCAGGGGGAAUUCCUAGUGUAGCGGUGAAAUGCGUAGAUAUUAGGAGGAACACCAGUGGCGAGGGCGGCCUGGGGCUUUUACUGACGCUGAGGCUCGAAAGUGUGGGGAGCAAACAGGAUUAGAUACCCUGGUAGUC